AAGAAAACCAGGGCCAGUGGACGGGAGAACAAUUCCAGCAGGACCAGGGGAGCCGCGGAAGGUUCUUGCAUUUCACUGUGCAUGGAAGUGAACAUACAGAGUAAACUGACCUAUAUUGGUUAAUUUCUACUGCAAAAUGAUCGGUGGGAGCACAGAAAUUGGUGGACAACAGCGAUUUACAUAGUAUGGGAACCCUAGUGGAAAGAACCUUAUGGAUGAUUUAACCCAUAAAAAAGGUAAUUAGACUAUCGCUUCCUGAUCUGCACAGCAAGGUAUUUGCCUCUUUUUUUUUAUUUGGCCUAUAUGUACUCACGCUGCAUCCUGAGAUGGAAAAUGUGAUGGAAUUUCUGCAAGCUACAGACAG